AGCAGCCGCGGUAAUUCCAGCUCCAAUAGCGUAUAUUAAAGUUGUUGCAGUUAAAAAGCUCGUAGUUGAGUUUCGGGGUUCUACCGUUGGUCGGGCUUUGUCUGUACUGGCGUGUAGAAUUUCUACCUUCUGGGGAACCAUCAUGUUAUUAAUUUAACGUGGUGGGAAACCAGGACCUUUACCUUGAAAAAAUUAGAGUGUUCAAAGCAGGCUUACGUCUGAAUACAUUAGCAUGGAAUAAUAAAAUAGGACGGUGGUCCUGUUUUGUUGGUUUCUGAAUCACCGUAAUGAUUAAUAGGGAUAGUUGGGGGCAUUAGUAUUCAAUUGUCAGAGGUGAAAUUCUUGGAUUUAU
rnacentral:rRNA from 1 species